AUUGAACGCUGGCGGCAUGCUUUACACAUGCAAGUCGAACGGUAACAGGCCUUCGGGUGCUGACGAGUGGCGAACGGGUGAGUAAUGCAUCGGAACGUGCCCAGAGGUGGGGGAUAACGCAGCGAAAGCUGUGCUAAUACCGCAUGUGAUCUGAGGAUGAAAGCGGGGGACCAGGCAGCAAUGUUUGGCCUCGCGCCUUUGGAGCGGCCGAUGUCAGAUUAGGUAGUUGGUGGGGUAAAGGCCUACCAAGCCGACGAUCUGUAGCUGGUCUGAGAGGACGACCAGCCACACUGGGACUGAGACACGGCCCAGACUCCUACGGGAGGCAGCAGUGGGGAAUUUUGGACAAUGGGCGCAAGCCUGAUCCAGCAAUGCCGCGUGCGGGAAGAAGGCCUUCGGGUUGUAAACCGCUUUUGUACGGAACGAAAAGGCUCUGGCUAAUACCUGGGGCUGAUGACGGUACCGUAAGAAUAAGCACCGACUAACUACGUG
rnacentral:rRNA from 1 species